GGCUCAUUAUAUAAGUUAUCGUUUAUUUGAUAAUGCCUAUCCUACAUGGAUAACAGUGGUAAUUCUAGAGCUAAUACAUGCUAAAUGCCCCGACUUCGGAAGGGGCGUAUUUAUCAGAUUAAAAACCAGCGCCCUUCGGGGCUUCUUGGUGGCUCAUGAUAACUUCCACAGAUCGCAUGGCCUAGUGCCGGCGAUGGCUCAUUCAAAUUUCUUCCCUAUCAACUUUCGACGGUAGGGUCUUGGCCUACCGUGGUUGUAACGGGUGACGGAGGGUUAGGGCUCGACCCCGGAGAGGGAGCCUGAGAAACGGCUACCACAUCCAAGGAAGGCAGCAGGCGCGCAAAUUAUCCAAUCCCGACACGGGGAGAUAGUGACAAUAAAUAUCGAUACGGGGCUCUUUUGGGCCCCGUAAUUGGAAUGAGUACAAUUUAAACCUCUUAACGAGGAACAAUUGGAGGGCAAGUCUGGUGCCAGCAGCCGCGGUAAUUCCAGCUCCAAUAGCGUAUAUUAAAGUUGUUGUGGUUAAAAAGCUCGUAGUCGAACCUCGGGCUCGGCCGGCCGGUCCGCCUCACCGCGUGCACUGGCUCGGCCGGGCCCUUCCCUCUGCGGAACCGCAUGCCCUUCACUGGGCGUGUCGGGGAGGCAGGACUUUUACUUUGAAAAAAUUAGAGUGCUCAAGGCAGGCCAAUGCUCGGAUACAUUAGCAUGGAAUAAUGAAAUAGGACGUUCGGUUCUAUUUUGUUGGUUUCUAGGACCGCCGUAAUGAUCAAUAGGGACGGUCGGGGGCAUCAGUAUUCAGCCGCGAGAGGUGAAAUUCUUAGACCGGCUGAAGACUAACUACUGCGAAAGCAUUUGCCAAGGACGUUUUCGCUGAUCAGGAACGAAAGUUAGGGGAUCGAAGACGAUCAGAUACCGUCGUAGUCUUAACCAUAAACGGUGCCGACUGGGGAUCGGGCGCUGUUCCUUUUUAGACGCGCUCGGCACCCUUCGA
rnacentral:rRNA from 1 species